CCCUUAGAUGUUCUGGGCCGCACGCGCGCUACACUGACGAAUGCAACGAACUUAUAACCUUGGCCGAAAGGUCUGGGUAAUCUCCAAAUUUCGUCGUGAUGGGGAUAGAUUAUUGCAAUUAUUAAUCUUCAACGAGGAAUGCCUAGUAAGCGCAAGUCAUCAGCUUGCGUUGAUUACGUCCCUGCCCUUUGUACACACCGCCCGUCGCUCCUACCGAUUGAAUGGUCCGGUGAAGCGUUCGGACCGUGGCCUUUGGACGGUUCGCCGUCUGUUGGCUGCGGGAAGUUCGUUAAACCUUAUCAUUUAGAGGAAGGAGAANUCGUAACA
rnacentral:rRNA from 1 species